rnacentral:rRNA from 1 species
GACGAACGCUGGCGGCGUGCUUAACACAUGCAAGUCGAACGGAAAGGCCCUGCUUUUGUGGGGUGCUCGAGUGGCGAACGGGUGAGUAACACGUGAGUAACCUGCCCUUGACUUUGGGAUAACUUCAGGAAACUGGGGCUAAUACCGGAUAGGAGCUCCUGCUGCAUGGUGGGGGUUGGAAAGUUUCGGCGGUUGGGGAUGGACUCGCGGCUUAUCAGCUUGUUGGUGGGGUAGUGGCGUACCAAGGCGUUGACGGGUAGCCGGCCUGAGAGGGUGACCGGCCACAUUGGGACUGAGAUACGGCCCAGACUGCUACGGGAGGCAGGAGUGGGGAAUAUUGCACAAUGGGCGGAAGCCUGAUGCAGCAACGCCGCGUGGGGGAUGACGGCCUUCGGGUUGUAAACCGCGUUCGCCUGUGACGAAGCGUGAGUGACGGUAAUGGGUAAAGAAGCACCGGCUAACUACGUG